GGAAUAUUGGACAAUGGGGGGAACCCUGAUCCANCCAUGCCGCGUGUGUGAAGAAGGCCUUUUGNUUGUAAAGCACUUUAUGCGAGGAGGAGGCUCCUAGUAUUAAUACUACUGGAUAGUGGACGUUACUCGCAGAAUAAGCACCGGCUAACUCUGUGCCAGCAGCCGCGGUAAUACAGAGGGUGCGAGCGUUAAUCGGAUUUACUGGGCGUAAAGCGUGCGUAGGCGGCUGAUUAAGUCGGAUGUGAAAUCCCUGAGCUUAACUUAGGAAUUGCAUUCGAUACUGGUCAGCUAGAGUAUGGGAGAGGAUGGUAGAAUUCCAGGUGUAGCGGUGAAAUGCGUAGAGAUCUGGAGGAAUACCGAUGGCGAAGGCA
rnacentral:rRNA from 1 species